GAGAGUAACUCUGCAGGUAGAUGAAGCAGACAUCAUGUUUGCAUUGCAGGGCAUCCGGUUCUUUCGAAACUGUCUGCAGUAAAUUUUGACCACCUAGAGUCGUGAUAUCUUAAAGCUGGCAGUGAAGACUGAACCUUGUUCAACCUAAAUGUAAAGGUUAGAAGUAGAGCCUUUUCAACUUACAUCUCAUAAGCUUCAGAUGUGACGUGCUUGUAUACCAAAGUUUCAAACUUAUAUUUGUCUGCGGUGCAAUGAAACAAGGCAGCAAAGCUCAGCAAUAUUUACAUAGAUUCUUCAAUUUUCUGGUUAUAUAGAAUUUAGUACUUGUAAUGUUAUACAAAGAAGCAAAGUAGUACAUAACAAUUGGAAUUUUGAUUGAAGUUAUAAAGCUAUGUGAAUCAAUUUUCUCUGCAUAA